ACUUGAUAGACAAAAGCAGAUAGCCAUCAAAGUUAAAUUGGUACGGUGAAGGAAUUGAAAGUUUAAAUAUACGGAAAGUCUUUAUAGUAUUCCAAGUGAAAAUAUCAGCGAAUCGAAAUUUCGCAGUAGCUAAAAGCAGAAUACACUGCACACACGCACAGAAUAGGAGAUUUAUUGAAGAUCCGGGUGACGAGUUAACGAAACCCACAAAACGAGAUUUUCAACCGUUCAACCUCGAGCGGUUCCGAAUAAACGAGUUGAAUUUCCGGAAGUUGGUAUCCUUUCGUUGCGAAAGCAACAGUUUUUUAAAAAUCUCGUUUUCCGGAUCGAUUGGAGAUGUCACGAAGAGAUCGAUCAAGAGAUGCAGCACAGGGAAACGGUCUGUAGCAGUCCUGCCCGCUCUGCCACUUGCCAGAUUCCGACGAAAUGGUCAGCUGUGACGACUGUGAGCGUUGGUAUCACUUCGGCUGCGUAGGAGUGAACGAAGAUGUAGCCAAUCAUGAUUGGAGCUGCCAGGAAUGCAUCAAUGCCAGAGUUCCUGCUCCACAAUCGCCGCAUCCGAGAGCUUCCACAGAUGAGCCAUUACCACACCUUCAGUCAGCAUUACCAGCCCCUCGUCAUCCCACGCCACCAACGUCGAUCAUGCCAGUGCCUUCAUCACGUCUUCACACUCCACGAACGUCAAAUUUACCACCCACUCCACGCCCGCGCACUCCACCGAUUUGCUGAACAAGUUUCCUGAUGAGCUUCGUAUCCAGUUGUUAAAAGAAGAAGAAGCCAUCGAGCGAAAGUUUCUGUUACGUAGGUACCAGCUUUUGCUAGAAUCAUCAGUGCAUACAGUUCCAACUGUU